rnacentral:rRNA from 1 species
ACUCCUACGGGAGGCAGCAGUNAGGGAAUAUUGGACAAUGGGGCAAGCCCUCGAUCCAGCCAUGCCGCGUGAUUGAAGAAGGCCUUAGGGUUGUAAAGAUCUUUCAAUAGUGAAGAUAAUGACGGUAACUAUAGAAGAAGCCCCGGCUAACUCCGNGCCAGCAGCCGCGGUAAUACGGAGGGGCGUAGCGUUGUUCGGAAUUACUGGGCGUAAAGCGCGCGUAGGCGGGCUAUUAAGUCAGGGGUGAAAUCCCGGAGCUCAACUCCGGAACUGCCUUUGAUACUGGUACCUAGAGGUCGAGAG